rnacentral:lncRNA from 1 species
UUGGAGUCUGCACCAACAUUCAUAAAAUACUUCUGAGAAAAAGAAUCCCUUUUUCAGCCAGAAAACUAUGGAUCUCUUUUUCUUAGGAUCUCUGCUGAUUUUGUUUCCCCAUUUUUGCAGAUCUUUUCUUCUUUUUUUCCAAUUUUUUGCACUCUGUUUCCUUUUUUUUUUUCGUCGUUAGUUCCUCGAUUUUGUUUUGGACGAAGAAUUAUGCGAGAUCUCAUCCCAGGCUCCAACUCCUCUUCUCCAAGUUUGAAAGUAAGGCUACCUUCCAUUUCAUAAGAUUUUCUCACCAGAUUUCCAACUAGACUCUCUGUAUUCAUUUAUUUCUUGUAGUCUUUUGGUUUAAGUUUCUUCAAAUUUUUUUCGAAUUAGAAUCUUACUGCAAUUUUUUGUUUUAUAUGUUUGGCAUGGUUUGCUUCACUUUUGGGGUUUUGGUUUUGUUUCAAUUUUUAUUUGGAAUGUCUUGAUUUGUGAGAUGGAAGGAGUUUAAUUUAGAUUUGUUUUUCAUAGCAUAACCUGCAGAUUGAAAAAUGAUCUGGCACUAUUGGGGUUUUAUUUUUCUUGCAUUUCCUUAUUGCAACUGAUACAUGAUUUUAUUUCUCAGUUUCCAAGGUGAUGAGUGAGUUAAUUUGGUUUGGGUAUGUUGUUAAUGGAACGAUUUGGUUAAUUCUAUAUGUCCUAACAGAUUUUUUUUUUUCUUUCAUAUGAUUUGAGUAAUUGCUCUGUUUAUUCAAACACAAACAAUUUGGGUAGCAAGAGCAACCCUUUCUCUGUUCUGUUGCUAUUUUGUUGUACCUUACAAACAAUUCGAGCAUAUUACUGCUUAAUUGAGCUUGUUUCUCUAAUGUUUUUAGGGUGCAAACUGUUGGAUAUCCCUCGUUAGUGGAGUGAAAAGGUGUAGCCGGUGUUGAUUGGUAGCAAUAAUUCUUCUCUAGUUGCUGUUGUGAUUGACAAUAUCAAUUAGCUUUAUGGAUGGCUUGUGCUUUUAGCUGCCUUGUGUUUUCGAUGUGCACUGUGUGCAUGUUGUGUGCUUGUGUCGCACCAAAGAGAGAGAGAGAGAGCACGGCAGAGAGAAGAGAAAUGUGAGGGAGUGGACUGCUUGUGAGACGCAAGCAAGCAGUCCCACGAACUUGAGGAGGAUGUUUCAGCUGGAAGUUAGCUGGGUUCAUCAAAGGUUCAAGGGAGGGUAUAUCUCUUGGGUGAGAGUGUUUUUCACGUGUAUGAGAUUAGAAGACGAACUUAAUUGGGACUUCUUGUCAUCUGUUUGUACCUUGUACUGACGAAAAUU